AAUCAACGCUGGCGGCGUGCCUCAGACAUGCAAGUCGAACGAUUAAAGCUCUCUUCGGAGAGUGUAUAGAGUGGCGCACGGGUGAGUAACACGUAAGUAAUCUACCUUUGAGUGGGGAAUAACAAUCGGAAACGAUUGCUAAUACCGCAUAAUGCAGCGGCAUCGCAAGAUGACAGUUGUUAAAGGAGCAAUCCGCUUAAAGAGGAGCUUGCGGCAGAUUAGCUAGUUGGUAAGGUAAUGGCUUACCAAGGCUACGAUCUGUAACCGGUCUAAGAGGACGGUCGGUCACACUGACACUGAAUAACGGGUCAGACUCCUACGGGAGGCAGCAGUCGGGAAUUUUGGGCAAUGGGCGAAAGCCUGACCCAGCAACGCCGCGUGAAGGAUGAAGUAUUUCGGUAUGUAAACUUCGAAAGAAUGGGAAGAAUCAAUGACGGUACCAUUAUAAGGUCCGGCUAACUACGUGCCAGCAGCCGCAGUAAC
rnacentral:rRNA from 1 species